ACGGGGCUCAAUCCCACCAACCGUGAGAUGGUGACCAGAGCCGACAUCGAGUCAGAUGCCCAACAGACUGAGCCCCCCAGGCGCCCCCUGCCCUUCCUUCUUAAUGCCCAGUUGCCAGGCCACGCCUGGGGGAGGCUGGGGUUUUCAGGGAGGGGCCGGCUGGCGUGGGCAGGGCCGUGGGGACAGUCCUGCUGCGGGGGCCCCUUUGCCAGGCUCCCAUGUGUGCAGAGACGUAUACCUGCACGUGAUGCGUGUUCCCACCGUGGUCACUGCAUGUGUCGGGUGUUUAUGAGACCGUGAGGGGUUGGCCCUGCCCUCCGUGGGGCAGAGCUGGGGAAGCCAGGCCCCACCCGCGGGCUCCCGGCCUCCGGGGUUGGUCACUGCUGAGGUGUGGCCCGGCGCUCUUGCCGGAGGGAGCUGCCUUCAGCCCCUACACACCCUGGGGCCGUGCUCUCCGGUGGCCUGCCGGCUGGGGGUGGGGUAGGCGCGUUCCCCAGGCCAAGUUCCCAGGGAAGGAGCGUCCAGUCCCCCGGGGUCGCUAAUUCGGGCCUCGGGCAGCUGCGCACUGGUGCCGAGGCAGUUAUUUCUGGCCCGGAGAAUUCCUGCCCAGAGCAGGCCCCGGAGCCCUGUCCCCAUGGGCGGUCUGUCCUCCUCCCCGGGGGCCCUCCUGGCUCUGUGCCCCCCCACCCACGCCUUUCCCUUCCAGGGUCGGGGGGUGGGGGGUGUCAUGCACAGCCCCCUGCAGGGGGCCCCAGCCUGCGCAGAGGAGCCUCGCUGGGAAGGAGGCUUCACGUGGCAAGGCCAGUCCACCCGCCUUCUGCAUCCAGGACAAAGCCAGCCCGAAGGGAUGGCUGGGUCCUAGGAGUGUUCAAGCCCUCAGCUGCUCCAGCAGGAACCGAGCCAGAGCUGUGACGUGGAGAUCCAUCAGGAGAGCUUGAGAUUGAGGAAAGGAACAGAGCUGGGGGCUAGCUCCCCUUUCAGACGGGAAAAUGGCCUGGGAGGGGGGCUGUGGGCCUCCAACUCACUCUCACAUGCCGCCACCAAGUGGCUGGCAGGGUCUCCAUGAGGGUCCGUGGCCAGCACAGUCAGGCUUCCUGCGGGAUGAUAAUUGGAAGUGGAGACGGGGUGCUUUUCCACUCAAUUAUGCCUUGAAAAAAUCCGAAAUCAAGCUCCUUAUUAAGAGCUAAGCAGAGACAUUAGCGCGCUUCCUAAUUAGCAUGGUCUUUAAAAUUGUGCACAAUUAGAGGGAGCUGUGGGCAUGUGCUCGGGCUCCAGGAUGUUUGUGUAAAUGAGCGUUUCGCUUUGUCUGGGGUGGGGGCGCUCGCUCUUCCGGAGAAAAGCCAACCUCCAACCCCCCUCCUGGCAAGGUGAGCUCGGCUGUACGUGUCCGAUCGUGUUAGCCUGCCCGCACCUCUUCUGCUCCGAUGCACGUGUGUGGGGCAUGCCCAGCACACAGGAAUGGGUAGUCCACGCACCUGAGCAGACACACGCAUGCCCAGACGCUGGUCUCCAGUGCUCAGCGCACAGGCACGCCACGGGCACAGGCUAGGUCUCUUGCCAGGGUCUGGCUGCCCUGGGCCCUACUCGGCCGGGGUCCAGGGGGCUGCUUCUGCGGCAGAUGGGUGUGGACGCCGCUAGGGCGAGGACAACACGGUGCCCAGAUGAGCUCAGAAAUUAGGCCGGCAGCAGGGGCGUCGGUGCCACGAACUGCUCAGAACAGAACCAGGCACUGGGCUCUGCUGGGCAGGACGUGGGCCUCAGCCCUGGAUGCCCUGGGCUUCGCGGGGGCAGGCGUGCCCAGGGGUUAGGGAAGGGGGUUCAUUGCUGGGUCAGAGCUGGCUUCCUGGCGAGUCCCAGAGCACAGCUCCGGAAGUGUCCAGGGCCACCGGUACAGGGAGAAGCUCUCAGAACAGAGAAAGAAUGUUCCAGUGGCCAGAGGUGUGCACGGGUGGGGUGAUGAGCUCCUAUCACGGGGUGGGUGGCCGGGGUGGGUGGCCGGCUCCUAUGGGGAGGGGGCCUACAUACAGCCUCUUGUCUUCCCAGGGGAGGCGAUCUCCCGGGAAUGGCCCGGCCCCCCAGAACUCCCCCCGCGUGACCCUGAGCCGCAGGCCCAGAGCAAACAGCUGGCUCCCCACCCCAGCCGGAGCCCAGUGAGCAUGAGUCACACCGGCCUAGGGACGGGCGAGCGGACGGGGAUGGGGACGGAGUGGGGAGGAGGGCUCCUUGCAGCCUGAGUCUGGCCGGAGGGGAAGCAGCAGGGGCCUGGGGCUCCGAGCAGAGGAACCAUUUGGGAGAGGCCAGGGGACAGGCGGGCACAGAGGCUGGCAGGGCCCAUGUGAGAUUCGGGGGGCGGGUACCGCUGCCCCCACAGUGGCUGUGGCAGAUCCUGUCGCCAAGGUGCUGGGUGAGCCACGUCCAGGGAGUUCUUGAUGGGCCGGCAGACCUGUGGUUCCCCAGGGCACGUGUGGUUGGCUGGGGCAGGGGUCCUGUGUCCCCACGGGUUGCGUGAAUGGGAGUUGGCCACAGGGAACCAGGGCCCUUGCUGUGCAGCGUGGACGUGUGUGGUGGGGACAGACUGAGAAGGCCACCGUGUCUCUGACUUCGAAAUAGUCUGCCUGCAGGCGCACCUGGCCUGAGCCCCCAGGCCCUCCCCUCAUCGUCCCCUUCUUCCCAGACGCUGACAGAAUCUUCGGGACCCCACCCCCUUCCCCCACUUAAAAUUCUGCGGUGGUGGCCUAAGGGGUGGGUGGGGAGGCUGGAGACCAGGGGCUGUUGGAGGGAGUGAGCUGGGGGGGGCCCUUCCCAGAGCCCCCUCCUUACCUUUUCAGCAGCCUGUUGUCAUGGCAACAACCUCAGGCGGGAGAGAAACUUCCUUCAUGGUGAGAUCUGGAGUGGCUGCUUCUCCCUCCUCAGAGAGUCCCCCAUGUGAGACUGGAGCACGGGGCCUGUGCCCCUGUGGGCGUCAGGGUUGGUGGCACAGAGGCCCUCCUCCAGGAGCCCCGUGGGCAUCGUCCGUUCCCACAGCUGUUAGACGAGGCACCCUGGCAUGGUGGCAGGUGCCGGGUAGCUGGCUUUGUCCAGAGCAUCAGGCCCCCCCCCCUCCCCCCCCCCCCCCCCCGUCCUCCACAGGUCUCGGCCACACCGGCUUCAUCGCUCACCGCACCAGUCAGUCCUGGUGAGGGGUGCUGGGCCUGUGCAGCAGAGGUCUGAGCGGCUGAGCCCAAGCACUGCUGAGAUGACCGAGAUGUUCCCUGGGGGCCCAGCGUGUGCGAGCCCAGCCUGGACACACCCGCAUUCCUGUUCAGUGCCACUGCCCCGAGGCCCCCUAAUCUGCAGUUGAACGUCGCACCCUGGGCUGGGCCCCGUCAUGGCGGCUGAAGCCUUAAUCAGUUGAUUCGUCGCUAGUUAAUUAAGCAGGAGUGUUUAUGGAAUAAUCGUCACCAGGAACCAGGGAAGGUACAUCUGCCCGGGGUUUGGGUGGGGGCGUGCUCUCCCUUCAGGUGGUGCCUGACCCCCCAGGCUGGGGCAGAAGCGAUAAGACUUUGGGGGACCCACCGACGACAAGGUGGAUGCUGGCGGCAGGAACACGGAUGACCACCACAGCGUGGUUCACACCAUAGGGUGCAGGCGGGACCCCCAAAGGUCUCUGCUCCACACCUGCUGAGCAAGGGGGCCUUCAGGGCUUCAGAGAAGAAGUCGGUCCCAGGAGACCAGGGUCCCCCAAGGGCAGGGGUCCUGCCAGAACCCCUGAGACCAGGGAGCAGACCCCUGCCUACAGCUCCCGCCAGGCCUGAGUCCCCACGGGCUUUGGGCUUCAUUAGCAGGUGCACAGGUGUGGACCUGCUGAGGCCCUGUGGUGUGGGGCUGGAGCCCUGGACCCUGCCGGGACCAGGGGUGGCCAGGCUGGGUUUUUGAGGGUCAAGGGUGUCCUUGGGCUACAUCAGCCCAGGGCGGAUGGCAAGUGGCUUUGCCUUAGUACCCUACUUGGAGCUCCUCUUCUGCCUUUGAAGGGUCCCAGGGGCCCGACUACCCUGGUCCUCUGUGAGUUCUGGGAGGCGUCAUCGGAUGCUAUCCCCACGGGCAGCUGGACCCACGAUGGGAAGCCACCAGGAGGACCCUGGAGUGCUGGGGAGCCCAUCUGCGCAGAGCUGGGGGGUUGCUGUACCCUGCAGGGAGGGAGGCCGCGUGGCGGAGGAGCCGGGGGGGAGGGUCCCUCCAUGCCCGCCCAGGUGCCGGUCCUGAGUCUCUGCCUGGAUUUGAGGGACAGCAAGGACAGGUUGGAGGCUCCAGCAAGAUGGAGUGGUCAAAAAGAAUCCCCAGUACUCUGUGUGUUUCAGUCACUGAGGUGAAACGCACACGUCCUGGGGAGUUCAUUGUGUUAACGGUGCGGUGCAAGCUCCCGCUCUUCCUAGUUCCAGAACAUUCCAUCACCCCACAGGGAACCUGUCCCCACUAGCUCUCACUCUCUGCCCCCCUCCCCCAGCCCCUGGCAGCCACUAGUCCAUGGUCUGUCCACAUUUGCCUGUUGUGGACACAGGCAACACGGGUCCUGGAACCAGAUCCCGCAGCCCUCGUCCUCUUCCGUUGGCUUCUGUCCCCGAGCGCCCCACCCGCGCCAUUCACCCACGUGGUAGCAGGUGUGGAGGUUCCGCCCCUCUUCUCGGCCAGAGGGAUGUGUCACUGUACGGAUGGGCCACGCCUUGUUUAUCCGCGCACGCGUGCGUUAGUGGACGUUUGGGUUGUUUCCUCCCGUGGGCAGCCGUGAGCCCGUGCGUGUCUGUCAGAGGGCCCUCCUCUCUCUGGGGUGUGCCGAGCCGUGUGUGACCUGAUGGUCUGAGGAACUGGGGUGCGCCUGGGUGGGAGCUGCACCCACAUGGGGUCCGUGGUGCUGCCAGCAGCCAUCUACGCUCCGCGUGGAACUGGCCGUCUCCAGAGGGCACGUCUCCUGACGCCAAGCUCAGCCCUUGUCCGUCUUGCCCGCCCCGCGUGGAGGGCUGGAGAUGGUGUCCACGAGUGGUGCAGAGGAAUGGGGGCCGCGGGGAAGCGUCGGGGAAGCCCCAUCACGCGUGUGUCUCCGGUAAGAACACGCAAGAUGCAUAAUCACACAGACUGAACCGGGGGGCCGAGAGGGCACGGGGUGGGGGUGGGUAGGGGGCAGCAAAAGUGGCCUCUCGACUCCUGCCAGCCCCGUCGGCCCGGCCUCGGCCUGGACCCUGUCUCACUCCCACCCCGUGAGGGUUUCUGCCGGAACUUUCCCGUGUCUUCUCGUACACGUGUGUCAAGCCACGUCCUAGAGGAGCGAGCCUCCACAUGGUGGCUGUUUUCACGAACGGUGGUCUCCGUCUGCUCAGGAUGUGUUUCUGCGCCAGUGCCGGCGGCCCCGCUGCAGCCUCGCACCCUGUCCGUGGACACGGUCUGAUGUUCAGGGGCCCCACGUGAUGCUUCCUGGCUCGCCGGGCCCGCAGCCUCACUGGUUCCCAGGAACCGCCCGGCUCUCGGUCGGUGUGUGGGAGGAGCGCCCGGGAGGGGCUGGACUCGGGGAAGGCCGCACCGUGACUGAGACGUGGGCUGGUUCUUGGGGUCUCCCGUGCUGCCCACGGGGCCCCAGGGUCUGGUCUGCGGCUGGCUCGGGCCUGCGUGGGGUGUUUCUUCCGGCCCCACAGCUGUUCUGUCUGCAGCCACCCACUCAGCCGUGUGGGGUACAGUAGACGUCUGCUGUCAGUGGCCCAGAAUUGUUUUCCCUUGUAGGAUGGGCUUUCUCCCCCAUGAAUAAACAUACGCUCUUCUCCUGGAGCAAAAUGGAAAAGCAAGCUUGAAUGCUCAGGAGAAUGAAGGCUGGGGGGCGGGGGCGGCAGGCCCUGUGUGCACAGCGGCACGGAAGGCCCCACACCACCUCCCCCAGGGCUGGGAAGGGCUUGCCCCCAUCAGCGGUCCAACCGGAGUGGGGCCCUUGGCCCAGCAUGUGGGACCUCCAUCGGCCGCUGUGUGUCUGGGGCAGGCGUGUGCACCUGUGGAGCCCCUGGACUGGCUGAGCUGACCCCUACGCCCCAUGUGCCCGUGCAGGCCACUUGUCCACACUACCCAGGAAGACUGAAGGCCCAUCGGGGUCCGAGGCUGGUGUCUGAGGGCCUCGCGUGGGGGUCUGGGCUGAGCACUCCCCGUGUACGGGGGAUCACAACGGCCCAAGGCCUCCUCUCGGCUGCGGGGGCGGCUGCUGUGGGUCCCAGACAGGCAGACGGGGGACCUGACCUGGCUGAGGCCAUGGUGAGGAGGGGUCUCUGGCCCACCCCACCCUGGGCCCCCUGCUUCCUGCUGCUCCUGCCCCGCCGCCCCCCCCUCCCCACCCCCUCCCCCCAGACACGAGGACACUCACGCCAAGCUGUCGUGGAUUUGGUCUAAUGGAGCUUAGCUGGCUGAGCAGAUUGCUCUGGAGGGCGGUGGGCGGGGCUGGCCUGCACGGGGCUUUCUCAUCUUCCGGAGACAGAGCUUUGCAGAUCUAUCCGCGUGAUCUCCUGACAGCCCCUCAGGGAGCCCAGCCUGUGGGAUCAGGGCCUGGUCCCCACAUGCCCUGCGGAGGGGCCCCUCCAGCUGCUGUGUUGCCCGUUGGUGUGUGUCUCUCAGUGAGGGGUGUCCAGCCCCCUGUCCCUGUCCCUCUGGUGAAAACACCACAUCCCCUCCCUCCUCGUGUGUGGGGCCGGCCAGGGGAGCUGAAGUGGCAUUCUCAGGAUGAGGGAGGGUAGGGGGGACAUGGAGCCUGCUGGAUGCUCCCACAGAAGCUGGGAGUCUGAGAAUGAGGAAGGGUGGGUUGACGGAGCGGUUCUCAGCAAAGCCUCAGUCCCUCAGGCGAGCAGCAUCCCUCGGGCUGUCCAGCAAGUGGCCCAGCCCUGAGCAAGCCCCGUCAGGGCCGCUUCAGCACCACGGACAGCGGCCACCACCUCCUCGCCACUGCGGCCUCGCGUUGGGGUGUCUGUGUGGGGUGCAUUGGAGCCAUGGUCGGAGAGGUCAGGAAGUUGGCACCGAGAGCCUCAGGACAGGACUGGGCCCCUCCUCCACACCCACCAGGGGUGGGGGGCCAGCCGUGGCGUGGCUGCCAGAAGUGGGGAGGUGGUGCAGCCUUGGUUCAGCAAAGGCCUGAAGGGGAGCGGGGAGGUAUGAAAGGCUGGUGUCAGGCCAGGCUGGGCAGAAUAUACUGGAAGGGCUCUGAGUGCGGAGUGUGGGGCUCACAGCGUGGGCAUGGCGCCUGAGGGGUCUCCCAACAGACAGGACCCCUGUCCCCGCCGCUGGUGGGGUCUCCAGCCCUGAGGGAGGCCCUGGGAUCAGGGCGCUCAAAAGAGUGUAGGUCAGAGGGCUCACUGCUGGCCAGACAGAGCCUUGCUGGCUCUGGGAUCCUGUGGGCGAGACCAUCUCGUUCAGCUUUGGACUCAAGCCCCCGGAGCCUCUGUGGCCAGGCCCUGGGCAGCACCGUGGGCCCCUCCCUACGCAGGAGUGGCUGCCUCCUCCUGCUUGCGCAUCAGCUUGGCUUCCUUGGACCCCUGGUGGAAAUUGACUCUAAUUUGCAGAAGUUGGUUCCAAACCUAAAGGAUUUUUAAUUAAAAUCCAGAAGACCCA